rnacentral:rRNA from 1 species
CUGGAAACAGAUGCUAAUACCGCAUAACAACUUGGACCGCAUGGUCCGAGCUUUUAAAGAAGGCUUCGGCUAUCACUUUUGGAUGGUCCCGCGGCGUAUUAGCUAGAUGGUGGGGUAACGGCUCACCAUGGCAAUGAUACGUAGCCGACCUGAGAGGGUAAUCGGCCACAUUGGGACUGAGACACGGCCCAAACUCCUACGGGAGGCAGCAGUAGGGAAUCUUCCACAAUGGAAGAAAGUUUGA